GAAUCUUCUCUGAUGAUCUGAGACUACAUGGUGCCAAGUGAAUCCUGUUAUAUUUUAAGGUCAAGUUAAAUGAAAAAGAUCUUAUACUGGCUGAUCCUAAAUUGUUUUUUUUAUUGAUUCAAUCAAUUUUAGUCAAACCAAAUUGGAGAGUAACAUCCCACAUAGACCAAAUUGCAAAUUCUAACAAGAACUCCUGGAGAAAAGACAGCUGGGGACUAUCAUUACCAACAGGAGGGGCAUAUUAUUACCGUCCUGUCCUUCUUCAGCUGCUUUCCCUUGAGUGGGCCUGA
rnacentral:lncRNA from 1 species